rnacentral:rRNA from 1 species
AACGUAGGAGACGAGCGUUAUCCGGAUUUACUGGGUGUAAAGCGCGUGCAGGCGGAACGGCAAGUUGGAUGUGAAAGCUCCUGGCUUAACUGGGAGAGGUCGUACAAGACUGCCGAUCUAGAGGACAGCAGAGGGGAGUGGAAUUCCGAGUGUAGCGGUCAAAUGCAUAGAUAUUCGGAAGAACACCAGUGGCGAAAGCGGCUCUCUGGGCUGUAACUGACGCUCAGACGCGAAAGCUAGGGUAGCAAACGGG